CCAAACGCGGUAACGAAUUGUCGUCCUCAACGAUCCCGUCGGGAAGGCAUAGGCUCAAUCAAACGCACUGAGAAGAGUGGAAGGCUGGACCGUUCCCGUGGGUCCUACGCGCCUCACACUCCAGAGCGGAGCGCCGCGGUGGAAAUGACGACAAAACGCGAAAAAACCGUACCCUUGUCAGUCUCAGGUUCUCAGCGCGGCACCUGUCCGCAACUCUACUCGCCCCGCGCCGCGCUCCCCCCUCCCUUCCCGCAGCCUGCGCCGCCGCCUACUCCCGCAUCCCUUCCACUUCGGCUCUCGAUUCCCAAUUUCCCAAGCCCCCGAAAUUCGAAUCGCCCGCCUCCCGAACCCUCCCUCCCCCCGCGCCGUCGAUGCCCCCCAAGCGGCCGUCCUCGCACGCCAUGGACGAAGCCGCUGCCGCCGCCGCGCGCCUCCACCCCUCCACUCCCCGCUCCAAGAAGCGCUCCUCCCGCUCCAAGUCCCGCGCCCGCGACCGCCGCCGCCGCUCCCCCAACCCUAACCCUAGCUCCGGCCGCGAGCGCGACUCGGAGCACGGCUCCGUCGCGCCCUCCCGCAAGAGCGACCGCAAGCCCAAGCCGCGCUCCUUCCCGGACUCCGCCACGCUCGCGACGGCCAUGGCCACGGCCGCGGCAGCCGCCGCCUCCUCGUCCGGCGGCGGGGCCCGCGUCGGGGGCCACGGCGCCGGCCAGAAGCUCUGGAGCGACGCCGACGAGGUCGCGCUGCUCACGGGCGCGGCCGCCUUUAAGGAGCGCACCGGCAUCGCCCCGCGGCUCCCGGACAUGGGCGACCUGUUCGAGUCCCUCAGGGACACCAUAGCCCCGCACCUCGACCAGGCCAAGAUGUACUACAAGCUGAAGCGCCUCAAGAGCAAGUUCCAGCACUCCGUGCCAGGCGCCACCAGCAGUGCGCACGAGCUCCGGGUGCGUGACCUCUCCGCAGACCUCUGGGGCGCCGAGCUGGUGCGCCCAGUAGAGGAUGGCGCGGACGCUGAGGAGGCCCUGGAGCGGGAACCUAACGAGGAAUACACCGAUUGGGAUUCAGAUGUGCCGGUGAGGCUACCUAUUGCGAGGGAGGUGCUUGGAGAGUACUGGAGGUUGAAUGGGCAGGCGCUGUCAGGGGUAUCGCUGGAGAAGGGGUUGGCGCUGCUUGGGUCAGAGGAGGCUAGAGUGGCUGAGGUUAAGUGGAGGCGGCAGCUUGAGGCGGAUAUGCGCAUGCAGAUGCGCCGGCAUGAUCUGGGAAAAGAGGUCUAUGGCUUGCUCAUCGAUGCCAUCAAAGGCCUAGGGCCUUAGUUGGGAAUUUGCAGGAGAUGUCAAACAGUGCAGGAAAAUGAUGGUUUACUAUCAAAUAGUGAGGUCUGGUGGAGUACAUAGCUGGAUACAUAGGCGCGGUGCUAUUUUGUAGGCUGAUCAACCAAACCUCAACCUGUACUUGGUUGCUGACUGACAGACAACACGGUGUGAAGUGCUGUAGGGUUUGCACGUAUCAGUUGUGUCAAUUUAUGUCAAGCUGUCUAAGCAGUCGAUGAUUGUCUAAGACACUUAGGUCUGGAGAUAUUCAUUUUGUUAAUCUGGAUUUCAAAGAAAGCUUGGUCCAGGAUCUGACAGCUUUCAGAUUAAUGUUACAUUCUCUGUAAAUCAUUCUCCAAGUAUUAUUGCGGUGAUGCUGUGGUUCAAGUGUAGAAUCAAGUAGUUCAGUUUCUCUGCUUGAUUUGGA